rnacentral:rRNA from 1 species
UGGCAGUUGCAUUACUGACGCUCAUGCUCGAAGGUGCGGGUAUCGAACAGGAUUAGAUACCCUGGUAGUCCGCACGGUAAACGAUGGAUGCCCGCUGUUGGGUGGUUUUUUCACUCAGUGGCCAAGCGAAAGCAUUAAGCAUCCCACCUGGGGAGUACGCCGGCAACGGUGAAACUCAAAGGAAUUGACGGGGGCCCGCACAAGCGGAGGAACAUGUGGUUUAAUUCGAUGAUACGCGAGGAACCUUACCCGGGCUUGAACUGCACAGGAAUGCGGGAGAGAUCCCAAAGCCCUUCGGGGCCUGUGUGGAGGUGCUGCAUGGUUGUCGUCAGCUCGUGCCGUGAGGUGUCGGCUUAAGUGCCAUAACGAGCGCAACCCUUCCCUUCAGUUGCCAUCACUUCGGGUGGGCACUCUGGAGGCACUGCCACCGUAAGGUGUGAGGAAGGUGGGGAUGACGUCAAAUCAGCACGGCCCGUACGUCCGGGGCUACACACGUUGACGGGCGGUGUGUACAGAGGGCAGGAACUUAGCAAUCAGGAUAGAAUCCAUAAAACGCGACUCAGUUCUGAAUCUUGUCGGCAACCCGUCGCCGCGAACCUG